rnacentral:rRNA from 1 species
CCUACGGGAGGCAGCAGUGGGGAAUAUUGGGCAAUGGAGGAAACUCUGACCCAGCAACGCCGCGUGAAGGAUGAAGGUUUUCGGAUUGUACACUUCUGUCGCGAGGGACGAAGAAUGACGGUACCUCGUAAGAAAGCCCCUGCAAACUACGUGCCAGCAGCCGCGGUAAUACGUAGGGGGCCAGCGUUGUCCGGAAGGACUGGGCGUAAAGGGUGUGUAGGCGGGUCUUUAAGUUAUAUGUGAAAUCCCGCGGUUCAACCGUGGAAGUGCAUAUAAAACUAGGGAGCUGGAGUGCAGGAGAGGGUAGUGGAAUUCCUAGUGAAGCGGUGGAAUGCGUAGAUAUUAGGAAGAACACCGGAGGCGAAGGCGGCUCACUGGACUGAAACUGACGCUGAGGCUCGAAAGCGUGGGGAGCAAACAGGAUUAGAUACCCGAGUAGUC